rnacentral:misc_RNA from 1 species
AGCACUGAAAGACUCCGA